rfam:Legionella jordanis strain BL-540 Ljor_ctg011, whole genome shotgun sequence.
AGAUAACCCUGCCUGGUUAAAAAUCAGAGACCAGUAACUUGAAUAGCAGCGUUUAAGGUGACUGAGACGUUGAAGCCUAUUAACAAAGCCUUGUAUAAGCAAGGUGAGUGAGCGGCCAGGCCGUAAUGCAAAUGAACACAAAGUAGCCUCGAGAAGACGUAGAUCCGAAAGCUGAACCAUUGGGGUUCCGGUGAAAGCAACAUGGAUUAGUGAACACUGAUUGAUACGCUAAUUCAUUUCGGCGGGGUGAUAGUGAC